rnacentral:rRNA from 1 species
CACGGGGGGAGCAAGCGUUGUUCGGAAUCACUGGGCGUAAAGGGCGUGUAGGCGGUCAAGUAAGUGGAAUGUGAAAUCCCUCGGCUUACCCGAGGACCGGCAUCCCAUACUGCUUGGCUUGAGUUCGGGAGAGGAUGUGGGAAUUCCUGGUGUAGCGGUGAAAUGCGUAGAUAUCAGGAGGAACACCGGUGGCGAAGGCGCACAUCUGGCCCGAUACUGACGCUGACAGCGCGAAAGCUAGGGGAGCAAACGGG